rnacentral:rRNA from 1 species
UGGGGAAUAUUGCACAAUGGGGGAAACCCUGAUGCAGCGACGCCGCGUGAGCGAAGAAGGUUUUCGAAUCGUAAAGCUCUGUCCUAUGAGAAGAUAAUGACGGUAUCAUAGGAGGAAGCCCCGGCUAAAUACGUGCCAGCAGCCGCGGUAAUACGUAUGGGGCGAGCGUUGUCCGGAAUUAUUGGGCGUAAAGGGUACGUAGGCGGUCUAUUAAGUCAGGUGUGAAAGCGUGAGGCUUAACCUCAUUAAGCACUUGAAACUGAUAGACUUGAGUGAAGGAGAGGAAAGUGGAAUUCCUAGUGUAGCGGUAAAAUGCGUAGAUAUUAGGAGGAACACCGGUGGCGAAGGCGGCUAUCUGGACAGUAACUGACGCUGAGGCGCGAAAGCGUGGGGAGCAAACAGG